GAUGAACGCUGGCGGCGUGCCUAAUACAUGCAAGUCGAGCGAACGGACGAGAAGCUUGCUUCUCUGAUGUUAGCGGCGGACGGGUGAGUAACACGUGGAUAACCUACCUAUAAGACUGGGAUAACUUCGGGAAACCGGAGCUAAUACCGGAUGAUAUUUUGAACCGCAUGGUUCAAAAGUGAAAGAUGGUCUUGCUGUCACUUAUAGAUGGAUCCGCGCUGCAUUAGCUAGUUGGUAAGGUAACGGCUUACCAAGGCAACGAUGCAUAGCCGACCUGAGAGGGUGAUCGGCCACACUGGAACUGAGACACGGUCCAGACUCCUACGGGAGGCAGCAGUAGGGAAUCUUCCGCAAAGGGCGAAAGCCUGACGGAGCAACGCCGCGUGAGUGAUGAAGGUCUUCGGAUCGUAAAACUCUGUUAUUAGGGAAGAACAUAUGUGUAAGUAACUGUGCACAUCUUGACGGUACCUAAUCAGAAAGCCACGGCUAACUACGUG
rnacentral:rRNA from 1 species